rnacentral:rRNA from 1 species
GAAUUGCAUUCGAAACUGCAGGACUAGAGUACAGGAUGGGAGAGCGGAAUUCUUGGUGUAGCGGUGAAAUGCGUUGAUAUCAAGAAGAACACCGGUGGCGAAGGCGGCUCUCUGGAAUGUUACUGACACUGAGGCACGAAAGCUGGGGGGGCAAACAGGAUUAGAUACCCUGGUAGUCCCAGCCGUAAACGGUGUGCACUUGGUGUUGGCGGUAUUGACCCCGCCAGUGCCGGAGCUAACGCGUUAAGUGCACCGCCUGGGGAGUACGGCCGCAAGGUUAAAACUCAAAGAAAUUGACGGGGGCCCGCACAAGCGGAGGAGCAUGUGGCUUAAUUCGAUGCAACGCGAAGAACCUUACCUGGGUUUGACAUCGGAGAGGCUUGCCUCUAGCGCGUGAAAGCGCGUUAACCUGACAGGUGCUGCAUGGCUGUCGUCAGUUCGUGCCGUGAGGUGUUGGGUUAAGUCCCGCAACGAACGCAACCCUUGUGUUUAGUUGCCACCCCCGAGCAAUCGGGGCGCACUCUAAACAGACUGCCCGUACAAGCGGGAGGAAGGUGGGGAUGACGUCAAGUCCGUAUGGCCCUUACACCCAGGGCUGCACACGUGCUACAAUGGCCGGUACAGAGGGCUGCGAGACCGCGAGGUUCAGCAAAUCCCUUAAAGCUGGCCCCAGUUCGGAUUGCAGUCUGCAACUCGACUGCAUGAAGUU